UUGCAAGAUAAGGAUGGUGAUUUAUUGACCUCCUCUAACUCUGUAAGAGUGUCACCCUCCUUUUUACUGACAACCGUAAGAAUGGUUUUUGUCCCUCUUCACCCAGCGCCUUGCUAAAUCCUACUUUGUAUAUUUACCUUCCCAUCUCAUUUUCUUGAAGUCACAUAAUACACCACAAUAGACCAAAGAUUCCUUCUUCAGAUGGUGGCUAUACAGACUAUUCCAAGUGAUUAGCAGAACUGUGGGGUUUUUAUCUUUCUUUUUAAUGCUGUUUUCUUCUGAUGAUCAUUUAAUUCCCUGGAUUUUGGAAGGAUGGGUGCUAAGGGGAAGUACAAGAAAAGGGGCAUAGAUUAAUACCUGUUUUUUCUGGAAGGUCUGGUCUAAUCUUACUCAGGAAUCAUGAGCUCAUCCACCCUACCAGGAUGCACGCUCAUUUCAGUGCUCUUUCACAUUGAUAGUUUGACCACGAACACAGGGAAAAGGCAGAUAUUAGGUAUUGGACAUGCCUCAUGAAAAAAUUGCCUCCUUUUUUAACUUUUGUUUCUGUUUCUUGGGUUUUGUGUUUAGACGCUGAGAAGACGAGGAGAAGAUACUGGCUAUCUUGUCUGUUGCAUUACUGCUGCAUUUUUGACAGCAAUGGGUUUGUUAAACUGACAUAAAAUGGUAGGAGUGAAUAAGCUGCACCCUUUCUUUUGCACCUCUGAUCUCCUUUGAUUGUGAGUCAGGGGUUUUUAGCAAAGCAUCUGUAUGACAGCCACAACUACCCUUUUUAAUGAGGCUGGAUCUUUUGCUCUAUUCUUUAAAUUAAAGCCAUAAAACAACCUAUAUACAUAUGAAAAGGGAUGAUUAGAUACUGUGGUACAACUCCUCUCUGUUAUAGCAGACAAAUCAGUUGUCAUGCUGUAGCAAUAUGAUCCCUGAAUCAAAACUCUUGGUAUUCUGUUGAGUCAAUAAAACUCUUCAGAGAAAAAUAAAAUCAGCACCAACACAUCAACUAUGUAAAAAAAUGGUCUCAAAGUUCUGCCUCCCUGCCUCUGGCAAAUAAAUCCAGUAAAUGAGAAUAGGAUGGGGACACCUUCUUCGUAUUACUAGAUGGCUGCCUGCUGAGGUGCAUAGGGCUAUGCAAACCAAAGAGUUUUCCAUCUCAGUGUACACUAUAUUUGUUCUUCGCAGUGAGAUUGAAUCUACUCUUCUUUGACUAUGAUGCUAGGCAACAUAGCAAGUCAAAUAUAUAUGAAAGCUAGCUAGACUUUGACAAACUUGGCCUCCUAGAAAUGCACAGCAAAAGACUUUUUAUGGAGCCAGGAUUUCAGCUGGGCACCUGGAACACAAACUGUGAAAAACCUUUUUCUCAUGUUUUAGUUGUUAUAUUGGACGUCUUUCUGCUGUAAUUUUCUUCUAAAGAAGACUUAUAACCUCCUAAAUACUGCCUGUCAGGUGUUGGCUAGGUGAAAUGCAUCCUAGGGAUUCGCAGCUGGAGGAAUCACAACAUCCCACAUACAGAGCAGUCCAACUUCCUGCCAAACUCUUCACUGUGUCUUUAACUCAAACCGCUUGCACUCGUUGUGAUUGAUGCUUGUAGCAAAAGGCAGACCUAACCUAGGAAAGCCUUCUGCAUCAUGGCUCUGCCUUCCUUCAAACAAAAACUUUUGUCUAAUUUCAAAGCUUGCCCUGGGAGCUCUACGCAAACCUAACACAGACAGCCUUUGCAUGAGAUGAUAAUUGCUAUUCCUCCUCAUUUUCACUGUGCAGUUGAUGUUUGUGCCUUGGUUGCUGUGGGUCACUUAAUUUAGACUAUCUCCGGAACCUUUCAACCUGUACCUGAGCAAUUACAUUGAUUUUGGGGGCAGUAUGAAAGUAAAUUAAACCUGAACAAAACUUACUCUUUGGUGAAGAAACCUUUGCCAACUUUAACAGGAUAAAAUUCUGCCAGCAUGUAAUGUUUUAUUGGGCUGUUGCAAAAUACUUUGGAGAAAGAUUUCCAGUUCACAGAACACUUCCAAAACACUUGACCCUUACGUUUUGGGGGCCAUUAUAAUUUUUCUCUUUGCAAACCAAGUUCCGAUUGUUCUGCAGAUGCCUUCCACCAAGAACAAGAAGAUAAAGUUUGUACUGAAGAGCUGGACCUUGUGGGAGGUACGGAAGAUUUCUGAAAAUGCUAAGUCUGAUUCAGAUCAACAUUUCUAAAACAGUCACUUCCACUGAAGGAGGACUGUGUACUUCCUCUGAAAGAGGAAGUCAGCAAACUCUUAUGAUAAAAAUAAUGCUCCUUUUCCAGCUCAGAUUUUUUUUCUGCUGUGAUCUUUGCCAGAUCUUAAAUUGCAAGUAGAGGGGUAGAACAUAUUUCCUAAUUAAUCUGAAUUGAAUAUGUUCAUUAUGCUCUGUAAAUCAUAAUGCAAUUCUGCCCUUUAUCCAUUUUCAUUGGUGCUCUGGUUAUGUGGGUAUGACUGAGAGUUGCUGGUCUGAUCUGGAAGUGACUUGGCAAAAUGCCACACACUUGUCACUCCAAGUCUGAUUUACAGACUAGCUGAAGGGUACAAGCUUUGGUGAAAUAUGCAGUCUGUAGAUGAAACCAAAGUUAGGCAAAUGAGGGCUUUUCAUGAAAGAAAGCCUACUUUCCCUAUUGCUGAAUGCAGAAGCUGAACUGCCCAGGUGUGGAGAUAAAUCAGAACUGAGUACAGAGAGAAGACUUCAUACUGCCUGGUAGAAUUUAGGUAUCUUCCUAAAAUACCAGGCUUUUGGUUCAGUCUGCUGACGAAAAGGAAGCCAUCCCCAUUAUUGGGGCAAUGCACGGCCAAGGUCAGGGUUGAGAUGUGAGAUCUUUCUGUGUUCUUUGAUGUUUGAAAACUGAGGUGGCAAUAACAAAACCAUUCAAAUGUGUAAAAAUAGGGAGCUUGAGGGUGUAAUGAAGCCCGAGUUAAAACACAUGGAGAACAAUGUCUGGGGACAGGAGCCAUUCUCUGUCCGUGGCUCACUUGGGUCCCUGUGUUGCCAGACCUCUUCCAGUCCCCAGGACAGACCUAAUACAAUUAGAUCAGAGCGUCUCCUACUUCACAAAAUACGCUUACUGCAAGACACUUGUUUCCAAUUGGGAUUUUUUUUAAUGUUGUAGUUUUGAGACUGCCUUGGAAUAUUUUAUAUAACAUCAGCCACUGUGCAGAUUUGUGUAUUGUACUGUAAUUACUUAAAUAGGGGAUUUUGUAUGCUACAGCCAGUGAUUCAUGAACUGCAGGGUAUCUGCAAAAACAGGCUUUCAUUGGGAUUAUGGGAUGUAAAAUGCCUGAAGGUUUUUGCCUUUGAUAGCAGACCUGCCAUUGCAUCCACACAGGGUUUGUCUAAUAAAUUGUAUUAGUGCUUUCCAGCAUCCUGAUAACUUCCCUCCCCCAACUCCUUGCUAUUCUGAAGUGUUUUGAAAGAAAACUGGUUCUCUGUGAAUUAUUGCUGUGGCAAUCAUUAAAGCAUAUGUUUGGCAUGCUGCUUGUUGACCGUGCAGUAUAACAGAGAAGAAAGUUGAAAAGGUUCUUCAAGAAGGACUUAAUAUUGUGAUAUUUGCAAUUACAUGAUUUCUAACUAGAAAUAAGGGAGUUGUGGAGGGUGUGGGGAAAGGACCACAGUUGGAUGUUCUCAAUGUCUUCAAGGGGAUGUAGUCACUUAUCUUCUAUCAGUUUGGGUUUAUGUAGCUAAAUCCCUUACGUGCUUCUGGAAGUAGUCUCAGCCACUGAAGAAAAUGGAGCUACUGUUUGAUUUAAGGCAUUGUCUAACUUGGCAUGUCAAAUUAUUCCAAGCCCACGAGAAGGAGGAGGACAUGCUGAUGACAGCGUGUUCAUGCCUGUGUAUCCAACCAAUGUGUUAGACUAGGAAUCCUUGCAGACACAGGUAAGUCUAAAGCUUUUUCCUUUUGUAAGAUCCAGCAGGAACUGGGCAAGGGGAAUCAUAAAGAUAUGAUAAUGGCUUGCUGCCUGAUAAAAAGCCCUAAUUCAUCCAGGGGAUAGCAGGUUUCUGGUGAAAUUUCCUUGCUGACUUUUCUGUCAGCCCAUUCCUAAAAGUCUGCAGGUUUCAUGCCGUAAAGCCAGAAACAGAGUUGUUUUGUAGUUGCUUGUGAGUUUUAAUUAUAGCAGGCACAGUAUUUCAGACAUGCCAAUGCUUGUUUUUAUGUUGGGAUCCACAUGGCUGCAUUUUCUUUCCAGAGGUUGGGAAAGAUCAUUUUCUUAGUCAUAUUUCUCUCGGAUCUAGAGCUGUGCAGAUAAAAAACAAAACAAAAAAAACCUUACUCCUACUAACUCCCUUCCUUCUGAAGUCAUCACAGCUCAGGUAAGGAAGUUCAGUAGAUAGCAAGUACAAGUCGGGGUAAGUAGAAUUACACACGAAGUGUGUGUUUGGUUCCCGUGAGAGUCUUCACUGACUUUUAUUCCCAUGCAUAAGAGUCAUGUCAGCCAUUAGCAGCGAGAAAAUCCAAGGCCUCCCAAUCUCCACCCUUGCCUGUUUCAGGCUGCCUAGUGUGCAGCAGGUUGCUCGCCAUUUUAAAAACUCACUAAAAAUAAUAAGGGCAGCAAGCAGCGUAUAGCUGUGUAUAUACUGUGUAUAUACAGACAGAGCUGUAUGUUCUUGGCUGAAAUCCUCUGUUCAGCAGAGGUUCUUUGGGGUUAGGUGCUUUGUAAAGGUUUGGUUUUGUUUUUUAAAGCCCUCCGUGCUUCCACUCUUGCUAUUCUCAGCUCUGUUUUACAGCGCGUGGCCAUGCAAAGCGAUGCUCCCAAACAGCGCAUCGGAGGAGGCGCAGCCCAGCAAAGCUCAGGUAGAGCAGAACUCCCUGCCGCUGUUUUCCAGAUGUUCCUCUCUAUGGGGGCCUGACUGGACCUCGACCGGAGGAGGAAGCAGAAUGGAAACUCAACGGAGAAGUGAGUCCAACCCCAGUUAUCAGAGCUUCAUUUGAGACAGUCCUGAAGUGAAGUCUUGGAAUCCAAAUUCCUUGAUAUACAAAAAAGGUUUAGCUGUGUAUGAAUCCAAGUACUGAGAUGCAGGAAACUACCUCCAGUUUCAAGUGAGGGAAGAAAUUUGGGUACUCUGGACAGAGGACACAAGAGUGUGAAGCAGAACAGAAUCUCUCCAGAGAUGUUGUUAUCACAGGUACUGGCACUUCACCAGUGGCAGAGAGAAUUCUGAUGACGAUCUAGGCUGAUUUAUGCUUCUGGGCACACCUGGCUAGCCUCCACCAUGAACUCUGAGUCUAAAGAGUGGUGGCAGAACUGGAGCGUAAGAGGACAUCUAGGUUUUCAAUAAAGACCCUCUCCAUAUGAAUUCAAACAUACUCUUGCUGCUGGAGGAGGACUUUAAUAGGGAAGUCAGCUGAAAAGCUUCCAGUGUGACCUGCACCAUUAAAGGACUCCAGCUGCUUUGCAAUUAUACCUUGUUCCCCUUUCUUCUGUAUUCCAUCGUAGAGUGGUGAAUCUUCAACUGCCACAACUUUGUUGGUGCUGACAAUAAAAGGACUGUCUUCUGACAGCUCUGGAGAACCUGUAAUUCAUGUUACUUCUUGAAGUAUAUGACUAGCUAAGACGAAAGGCCAGAUGCUUGCUUCCAUUUAUCAAGUCUCCCCUUUACCAUGCUGGUGUUUCUGUCUUGGUAAUGACUGACUUUAU